rnacentral:lncRNA from 1 species
UGCUGAAGUCGAAGCAAGGAUUCUCGAAUCUGAUCAAGGGAGCUACUAGGUUAGGUUUCUGUAUCUCCCCUAAAUCGACGAAUCCGAUUCGAUGGAGAGGGGUCAGAGAAUUUUCAUACGAGGAAAACUUUGGCAGAGAAAGUGGUUUAAUUUUCCGGGAAAAUCCAGAGAGGGGGCAAGUAACGGUUUAGGGCUAAAUCUGGAGGAGGGAGGAAGAGAGAAAGAUGAUUGAGGAGAAAAUUUGGGGGAAAGUGUAGAUUUUUGAUUUUAAC